GACGAACGCUGGCGGCGUGCUUAACACAUGCAAGUCGAGCGAUGAAGCUUCUUCGGAAGUGGAUUAGCGGCGGACGGGUGAGUAACACGUGGGUAACCUGCCUCGUAGAGGGGAAUAGCCUUCCGAAAGGAAGAUUAAUACCGCAUAUGGUAGCUUUAUCGCAUGAUAGUUCUAUUAAAGGAGCAAUCCGCUAUGAGAUGGACCCGCGUCGCAUUAGCUAGUUGGUGAGGUAACGGCUCACCAAGGCGACGAUGCGUAGCCGACCUGAGAGGGUGAUCGGCCACAUUGGGACUGAGACACGGCCCAGACUCCUACGGGAGGCAGCAGUGGGGAAUAUUGCACAAUGGGGGAAACCCUGAUGCAGCAACGCCGCGUGAGUGAUGACGGUCUUCGGAUUGUAAAACUCUGUCUUCAGGGACGAUAAUGACGGUACCUGAGGAGGAAGCCACGGCUAACUACGUGCCAGCCGCCGCAGUAACAC
rnacentral:rRNA from 1 species